rnacentral:lncRNA from 1 species
AGGUUGCCUGAAUUUAUGUCCCAUAUGUGAAGUUCCUGAAGUGGCCAGAAGAUGGCGAGUGAUUCCCCGGAAACUGAAGCUGCAGAUGGCUGUGAGCUGCCUGAUGGGUGCUGGAAAUCAAACAGAGCUGUAUUCCUAGCUGUGUUCCAAGCUGAUGGCAUCCCUCCUGGCUCAAGAAGAUGGUUUCUAAAAUCCCUGAUGGGGUAUGGACACACAACCACAGGUGCCUACGGAUGCUGGAAGAUGAUGGUGGAUCCCUUGGAGCUGAGGUUUUUAUACACAGUAGUGAUGGGAACCAGACUGACAGUAUCUGCUGAACCACCUAUCCAGCUCCCACUUUCAUACAAGUGUUCAUCUACAAACCCUCUCAAAUGAGUUUUGGAAAAUCCUACUCAAUAUGUGACACCCCCCCACACACACCCCCAAUAGACAGCUGUGGAGCCAUUAAAGGGUCUGAGGAGCCCCAGGA